CGGACGGGUGAGUAACACGUGGGUAACCUGCCUUAGACAUGGGGAUAACAAUUAGAAAUGAUUGCUAAAACCCUAUAAGCUCACGGCCUCGCAUGGGGCAGAGAGAAAAUAUUUAUAGGUCUAAGAGGGGCCCGCGGCUGAUUAGCUAGUUGGAGAGGUAACGGCUCACCAAGGCGACGAUCAGUAGCCGACCUGAGAGGGUGAUCGGCCACAUUGGGACUGAGACACGGCCCAAACUCCUACGGGAGGCAGCAGUGGGGAAUAUUGCACAAUGGGCGCAAGCCUGAUGCAGCAACGCCGCGUGAAGGAAGAAGGGUUUCGGCUCGUAAACUUCUUUAGGCAGGGAAGAAAAAAAUGACGGUACCUGCAGAAUAAGCCCCGGCUAACUACGUGCCAGCAGCCGCGGUAAUACGUAGGGGGCAAGCGUUAUCCGGAAUUACUGGGUGUAAAGGGUGAGUAGGCGGUUGAAUAAGUCAUAUGUGAAAUACCCGGGCUCAACCCGGGAACUGCAUAAGAAACUGUUUAACUAGAGUACAGGAGAGGUAAGCGGAAUUCCUAGUGUAGCGGUGAAAUGCGUAGAUAUUAGGAAGAACACCAGUGGCGAAGGCGGCUUACUGGACUGAAACUGACGCUGAGUCACGAAAGCGUGGGGAGCGAACAGGAUUAGAUACCCUGGUAGUCCACGCUGUAAACGAUGAGUGCUAGGUGUCGGGGGGAGACCCUCGGUGCCGCAGCUAACGCAAUAAGCACUCCACCUGGGGAGUACGGUCGCAAGAUUGAAACUCAAAGGAAUUGACGGGGGCCCGCACAAGCGGUGGAGCAUGUGGUUUAAUUCGAAG
rnacentral:rRNA from 1 species